rnacentral:rRNA from 1 species
AACGAACGCUGGCGGCAGGCUUAACACAUGCAAGUCGAACGCCCCGCAAGGGGAGUGGCAGACGGGUGAGUAACGCGUGGGAGUCUACCCAUCCCUACGGAACAACUCCGGGAAACUGGAGCUAAUACCGUAUACGCCCUUAGGGGGAAAGAUUUAUCGGGGGUGGAUGAGCCCGCGUUGGAUUAGCUAGUUGGUGGGGUAAAGGCCUACCAAGGCGACGAUCCAUAGCUGGUCUGAGAGGAUGAUCAGCCACAUUGGGACUGAGACACGGCCCAAACUCCUACGGGAGGCAGCAGUGGGGAAUAUUGGACAAUGGGCGCAAGCCUGAUCCAGCCAUGCCGCGUGAGUGAUGAAGGCCUUAGGGUUGUAAAGCUCUUUCACCGAUGAAGAUAAUGACGGUAGUCGGAGAAGAAGCCCCGGCUAACUUCGUGCCAGCCGCCGCCGUAAAAC